GCCACAUCCACUGCUACAAUGUUGCUCAUGGUUCUGUCGAUUAACCUUAUAGAUAUUUCUGCAGCUCAACGUAUUAUCUAACAGGUCUGUACCAGUUGUGAUAUAUGUAUACAUAUGUAUGUCAACUAAAAUAUCAGUGUUCUUGAUUUCUUCGUUGCUCAAGUUAGUAAUGUGUUGAAACUAAAAUAGUUUUAGGAUUCGAAAAGAUUAUGAGAAAUAAGAUGAAUAACUAUUUAUAGUUAUGAGUUUCUAAUCAUUUACGAUUUAAAAUAUAAUUAAUUAGAAAAGAGAAUCGUUAAGUUAGUCAAAAUAAGUAUUGAGACGAUCGAUGAUAUGAUAAUAUCCUCGUUAUAUUCGAUGUGGUAUAAUAAUUAUUGACGUGAUCGGCAUAACGAUUAUUAACUCUUGGGAUGAUGAUUUUUAUUGUUAUAUAAAUUAUUAUUUUUAACGAUAGUUAUAUAAAUCCACAAUAAAUUUUUUAUUAUUGUAAGAUAAAGAUAUAUUCAGACCAAAAUCAAAAAGUGACUACUACCAAUUUGGCAAGACCUUAAUGUCCUUCCAUCCUCUAGUUGAUAUAUGGUUCCCAUCUCCCAUGCCAACCUGUUUACUGGAAGUCAACGUCAAAGUCAAAGUCAACGACCUCCAGUUUCUUCAAUUGCGGCCGUCUCACCAGCUUCCAAGAGACAGUGAGCUGGCGGUCUUCACAAGAACCAUCCAAUUCAAUCAUCCAUUCCAAUGAUCUCCUUCGACCGAUAUCAAGUAUAGAGAUCGAUCGAUCGCUCGAUCUAUUUCUUUCUGCCUCUUGUUGCCAUGGCUGAAUCCACGAAACAGAUCGUCGUCGUCAUUCUUCUCACCAUCCUCCUGCUCGGAUGCCAUCCUACCAUCUCCUUCUCCUGUACUCCCAGGAAGGCAUUAGCCAGAGCUGGACGAUGCGGGGAGUCGGACGAUCCCAUCCCAAGCCCCACUACCAUGACAGCGUCUCAAGCCUCGAGGAGGCCUUACGUGCCACCGUCGCCUGCCGGAAAUCGAGUGGUAAUUUACGAAGCACCCCCUCAAGCGCCGCCCCCGCUCGUAGCGUAGACGAGCAGCGAAUGCCGAGUCUCUUAUUUAUGUUCGUCUGUUAGUAUCUCCUAUACCAAAGCCAAUAAUAGCUUUACAUAAAGCAACGUUUGGAUGCAUAUGAUUACUCCGACCACAAACAUCUAAUUAGACUUCGAUCCAAGAGAUGGGAGAAAGGUAGGAGACGACAUGGAGGAGAGCUGAAACAGAAAGGAAACCAGAAGGAACUCUGCUGGGUUUGGCCAUAAAACUUGAUUCCUGCUCAAUAAAUUGUGCUUACAAUUA